UACGUAGGGACCGAGCGUUGUCCGGAAUCAUUGGGCGUAAAGAGCGUGUAGGCGGCCACUUAAGUCCUGCGUGAAAUCCUUGCGGCUCAACCGCAAGCGGUCGUGGGAAACUGGGUGGCUAGAGUGCGGGAGAGGAGAGUGGAAUUCCUGGUGUAGCGGUGGAAUGCGCAGAUAUCAGGAAGAACACCCGUGGCGAAGGCGGCUCUCUGGAACGCAACUGGACGCUGAGACGCGAAAGCGUGGGGAGCAAACAGG
rnacentral:rRNA from 1 species